rnacentral:rRNA from 1 species
UACGGGGGGAGCAAGCGUUGUUCGGAUUUACUGGGCGUAAAGGGCGCGUAGGCGGCCUGUGCAAGUCAGUUGUGAAAUCUCCGGGCUUAACUCGGAACGGUCAACUGAUACUGCUCGGCUAGAGUGCGGAAGGGGCAACUGGAAUUCUUGGUGUAGCGGUGAAAUGCGUAGAUAUCAGGAGGAACACCGGCGGCGAAGGCGGCCCUCUGGACCGUUGCUGACGCUGAGACGCGAAAGCGUGGGGAGCAAACAGG